CACUGGUUGAGAGCUGACACCGCUCUCCUGAUGAGUCCAAGGCAGGACGAAACCAGUG
rfam:Helianthus annuus linkage group 6, whole genome shotgun sequence.